UUAAGUUCAGCGGGUAAUCCUGCCUGAUCUGAGGUCUAAUCUAAGAGAUUUGACUAGAAGGAUUGGAAGCCUCUAACUGUUAUCUACUUGUCGGCCACCCAAAGGGUGUCCUCAGCGAAUAGUCUAUUACGCUGAGUCAAUCCGAAGUUCGAAAUUGAGAGGGCUAAUAUAUUACGAUCGAGCAAGCUCAAAGGCUUGCA
rnacentral:misc_RNA from 1 species